GCUUACGGCCAUACCACUCUGAACACGCCCGAUCUCGUCCGAUCUCGGAAGCAAAGCAGGGUCGGGCCUGGUUAGUACUUGGAUGGGAGACCGCCUGGGAAUACCAGGUGCUGUAAGCU
rnacentral:rRNA from 1 species